UACGUAGGGUGCGAGCGUUGUCCGGAAUUAUUGGGCGUAAAGAGCUCGUAGGCGGUGUGUCACGUCGGCCGUGAAAACCUGCAGCUUAACUGUGGGCGUGCGGUCGAUACGGGCAUCACUGGAGUUCGGCAGGGGAGAUUGGAAUUCCUGGUGUAGCGGUGAAAUGCGCAGAUAUCAGGAGGAACACCGGUGGCGAAGGCGGGUCUCUGGGCCGAUACUGACGCUGAGGAGCGAAAGCGUGGGGAGCGAACAGG
rnacentral:rRNA from 1 species